GCGCCAGGGAAUUAMGAGCGCAAGCUUAAAAUCCAAAGGAUUUGACGGUGUCCCACCCACCWARAGGAGCCUGUUCUAUAAUCGAUAAUCCUCGAUAUACCCAACCAUUUCUUGCUUUNCAGCCUGUAUACCUCCGUCGUAAGCUUACCAUUUGAAUGUAAAAAAGUAAGUUUAAGGAUCACUCAUCAACACGUCAGGUCAAGGUGCAGCCAAUGUAAUGGAAAGUAAUGGGCUACAAUUUCUAUCAUAGAACAAACGAAACACUGCAUGAAAAAUUAGUCAUGAAGGCGGAUUUAGUAGUAAAAAAAGAAUAGAGUGCUUUNNUUAACAAGGCCCUGGGACGUGUACACACCGCCCG
rnacentral:rRNA from 1 species